rnacentral:tRNA from 1 species
GGGAAGGUAGCUCAGUGGUAGAGUGCAUGCCUUGCAAGCAUGAGGCCCUGGGUUCAAUUCCUCAGCACCA